UCCAACAAAUUCAAAAAGAAGCAAGUGAACAAGUAAAUGAUGUUAAGAAGCAAAUGGAUGAGAAACUUGCAGAGAUGAAUAGAAUAUGGGAGUAGAAAUUCAAGAUACUUUUGGAGAAAAACAAUAAUAUUGCAUCAGUAAGUGAUUAAAAACUAAGUCUCAUUUUUUUUCUAAUAUAAGAAUUUUUGAAAGCUAUAUAACUAGUAUGAACCUUAUCUAUUUUAUAUAAUUUUGUUAUUAAUAUUUUCAAAUAAAAUUUUAUACAGCCUAUAGAGGAUUCCCAAGAUGAUGAAAUUGGAGGAUGAUUUGCAGUAUAUUUGAAGUUUUGGAUUUUGAAGCAG
rnacentral:lncRNA from 1 species